UGGCAGCGGUGACACUGCGCAGGACCC
rnacentral:sRNA from 1 species